AAGAUGUUGGCGGGAUGAAAAAAAGCCUUUCAAUGUGGUUGAAAGAUAGUAGCUGUGAUGGUGGAGAGAAAGAAGAGAAGAUGAUGAAAGAGGAAGAAUCAGGACAGACAGGGGAAGGCAACAGUGGAGAACACCACAGACAAGGGAUGAAGGAGACAGACAUGAGGUCAGUGAUAGAGGAGACAAGUGAUGAGAUCAGGUAGGCAUUAGGAAAGCAACAAAAACCUAU